ensembl:lncRNA
AUGUUUAAAAAGAUUUAGAACUAUGUCAAAUACACAGCCAUUGUUAUUUAUACAGUAGAAAUACCUAAUGAUAUUUAAUAGUAACAAUAUUAAUGUCCACAACCUGAAAUAAAACGUGUAACUAUAUCAAUCUAUAUCAAAAAUUGACAUCAUGAUUUUCCAUACUGAAUUCAUGAGAUCACUUAAAAGGAAAAGGAAAUCUUCUCACAAGACAUCCAGAAAUCCUUUCGUUUUUUCAACAGCUCUCUAGGCACACAAUUUAAUGUGUUCUUUUUCUUCCGUACCUUCUUUUUCUUUUUCUCUCUCUUUGCAAAGAUCUUUUUUUUCUGUGCAAGGAUCCCUUCCUCAAGGGAAUUUAGGACUGGUAGGCCUAUCAGGAAUACAGUAUUUCUCCUUCUCCUGGUCUUUAUUGUCUUAGGGCCCUGCUUCGGGGAGUUGUCCCACCAGGAAGGUGAAUUGUCAUCAAGGGUCGGGGACAUUUUUCCACAUGCUGGCAGAGCAAGAGUGCUGGAGCAAGAACCACCAGUAUUUAAGGCCCCAAAAUAAGGCUUUAAGACCAAGCAGAAGGCACAGUUACGGGGAUCCCAGAGAUGGACGCAAUGAAGGCAAAGAGGCAAGUCCCAGCUGCAAGGAAGGUGGAGAUGAUAGAGGAGUGCCCAUUUGCAGGCACAGUGGAGGUGAGGGGCAAAGUUAAAGCGGGGCCGGUGACCGAUGUGUCUGGAUUGUGUGGGCGGUCAGACCAAGUGCUUGUGCACAUGAAGCCGGCCUUAACAUUUGCUGAUGUAGCAGCUUUUGAUAAAGAACCUCAUGAACAACAAUAAAAGCCACAACAUGGUCAGCAAAAGUCUCAGUCAUGUGACUUGUGCUGCCGUCCUCAGUGACUUUCUAUCUGCAAUUUCACUAAAACAGUGAUUAUAACUGGAGUCCCUGCGGUUGAUUGCAGGUGGGUUGUUGAACAUGUCUGAAUUAAUCCUCCUUUCUGUUCAUUUGUUUGUUCUCGUAAAAUCAAACCACGAACCACUGCUUUUCAUGACAUAUAUACUAUUUAAUCUUUCUGUCGACAACAUACAAUAGACAUCAUAUUGUAAGACACAGUUUACUGCUUCUUUUUCACAGGCAAAGAGACAAUCCUACUGAAUAAAGGACCAGCAUUAGCUAGUAUCUACACAUUUAUACAUUGUCUGAGGAGACUGCCAUACGGCGUACUCAUCUGUAGAUAAUCUCAACAUAUAAACACUCUCGUGGAUUGUUUGCACAGCCUUGGCGGGCAAUUCAGGCUUUAGAAGACGACCUGAUCCAGCCCGUUGUCAUUUUUAUAUUAGUUGAGAUUCUACUCAGAUUCUACGACUGACAUGCAAUGUAGUUGAAGUAUGAAGUAAUAUGAAAUGGAUUUUGUAACUUCAAUUUGUACUAGUGUAGAGUAAUCUACUUGGACACCAUCAUACAGCACAUUCAUGUACACAAACAUGAAGGUACUAACAGCAGCUGGAUAACACACCUAGGAGCAAGGGUAACAGCUGGCACGUCCAAGGGCCAAAAAAUGUCACAAUUAGGAACUCAAAUGCCUACAAAUGAAGCCUUUGCAGCCUCUUUUUGAAUCAAUACUAAAACCAAAGUAUAAAACAGCUUUGUGUACUUGACUUUCAAGUACAAUCAGUUUCCUUCCUGUACUUUUUUUUUACCUUUUAUACAGAGCUAGACCAGUUGCUAUACUCAGCUACUAAGCUUUAUGCUAAGCUAAGCAAAUAACAGUCCCCUCUCUCCAGCUUCAUAUCCAGCCUACAAAUACACGAGUGGUGUCAAUCCCCUCUUCGAACUCUCGACCAGAAAGGUAGAGGCAAGUAUACAGAGUAAUAACGGCCACCUCUGUGAUGGCCGGUGAAACACUCAUAACCCUCAUUCUACCUGAGGAUAUUUGGUAUAACAUCAGAACAAAACAUAUUUGUACAAGGGAUGAAAUAAGAGAGGACAAAGAAAAGUGCCCUACUGUUCACGUCCUUGCAAUCCCCGCUGCCUGAUCCCCGUCUGUCCUCCAGCCUCCAUCAUCCGAUCCUCUUUCCAUCACCGGCUCUCUGUACCAGUCUGUUCCCCUUCCAACACUCCAUCACAACGGCACGGAGCCCUGGAGAUGUCUCGCUGCUAAGGAGUGAUGUAGUGGGCUACGCUAACAGGCCCUCUCGGCCACUAUUAUUAACCAGGCCCAGCUCUCAUUUCUCAAGGCCUACAGAAACAUACACGCACAGAAACACACACACACAUAUACACACACGCAAGCACUAACACACCGAAAAAUCCAGAAAAGACACACACACACUUGAAACACGCACAGCCCCUUCAUUUAAUUCUUCACUGGAGAUAAGCAGGCAUUGCAUGUUUUUCCUAUCUUAGAAUUAAUGUAGCAACAACUACAUUUGAUACAACUUUAAUUUGGUAGUUGAAUUAACGAAUUAGCAGCGGUGCGUUACAUUGAUGACACAACUAUUUUUCCUUAGUCCCGCUAUUCCAGUGGCAUAUGAUGAAAGCAGUAUUAUUACCACAGUAUGCAAUAUUCAAACACGAGAUUUGUCAUCUAAUGAAGAGAAUUAGAUUUCAGCCUUCAUGUAUAAUUCAUUGCCAUCAACCUUAAUCCAGUACUCAGUGCAGCAGACACAGACUGCAAAUGAAGGGCAGAAACUCACAAGUGCAUUAUCUGAAUCAACUACAAAAGAUUAUAGUUCCAAUCAAUCUUUUUAUACUGUUAAUUGUAGAUUGUGGGGCUUUUGCGAGGACAAAUAUGCUCUACUGCUUGUGGUGUACUUGAAUGUAUACAAUUGAGUUUUCCUGACUUCUCCUCCUGUGGUGUAUGACAGGAAUCACUUUGAUUUUCUGUUGAUGUGUUACACAGUGUGUUUUCUUGCUUCACUGGCCUGGUAUCCCUUCAUUAGUCUAUUGCUUUCAGCAGAACAGCCAAUCCUGUAUGUGAGUGAAAAAGUCUUCGCCUUCCAGUGGCGUGUAUCGAAUUCCUUUAUCCCCUAGUACAACUAGUGCUGCUAGCUAGGAAACAGGGCAAAUAUAACCGCCCCCCCUCGCCCACCAAGGCAUUGAUUUAAACAUAGAAUGCUGCAGCUGGGAGCUACAAAUCUAAGGGGGAAGUCAGCUUAUUCAUAGAACAAAAAUGUAGUUGUUUUGUACACACACCUCAGAGGAUUUGAUUCAGUAUAGAUGAGGGGUGUGAGAACAGUGUGAGAGCAGUGUGUAGCGCUGCGUUCCAAACAUUGCCAGUUGAUGACAUUCUCUCUGACUAGAUGUGUGUGUGUGUGUGUCUGCAUCACACUUGAUUUAGAGUUUUGUCAGACAAAGGCGGGAUGCUCUGCACAGUUGCCUACAUUCGUAUUUUGCCUUUUAAAAAAAGCCCAAUUCCCAAUAAACACACUCGUCUUCGUGUCGCAGCAACUCUGCACACAGCAGGAAACCCACCUUCUCACUCAGAGGACGAUUAUGAAGAGAGACUGCAGACAUGCAUCUUCCCCCUCACAUUAGAAUAACAUGAAUAGAAGGGAAACAACCAGCGAGUGUUUGGAAACGCAAAGGGAGAGAGAGAGAGAGGGAGCCUCGAGAGGGACAGAUGGGAGGAAAAGAGGGACCAGCAGAUGGGAAAGAUUGAAACAGUAGAGGGGGGGUAUAAAGGGCCCAGGUCAGAAGAAUGUUCCCGUGUUGUGAGAGGAACCUUGUAGAGUGAGUCAGCGGCUGCGGUGUCUGGCACAGCAUCAGUCCAUGUGAUCAGACAACGGGCGUCUGGCUCAUAACCCAGUCACUUUGUUCCCCCUCUGGCAGCCCCGGGCCCGACUGCCUGACUGGCUGUUGGUGAGAGAAAGAGGCAGAGAUAGCAGGAGAGGACGCCUACUGCCUCCGCUCAUCGUCAGUGGGACGGAAAUUAGCCACGCGAAGCAAUUAAAACUUCUGCGAAAACGCCAGCUAAAAUUAGCUCUCCUCAGGGUCAGUGAGGCAAAAGUCGAUAGUUCAAAGGAUGAAUCCUCUUUCUUCCUCUCUGUCACACAUACACACAAAACACCCACACACACAAACACACGUACAGCAGCAAGACACAUAAUGGGUGUCCUGUCCACUGCCCUGCAAGCCAUGAUCCCAUUGCCCAGAUAGGAUUCCUAAUUGAUGUGACAAAGUGCCUGGGAGUGUCCCGUUUCUCCGGAGUGGUUUUCUAAAACGCCAUGGCGACCUCUUUCUCUCCUCCCUGUCCUUUUGUAUGCUAUUCCUUUCAUUGCCGAGUGCGGUUUAAAUGGGGUAAAAAAAAAGAAAAAAAAAAGUAUCCUGACAUCCGACGGCCGGAUAUUAUUAUGAUUGCCGAAUAUUGACCGUGGCCACAGUGGGCAGGAACGGGAGGACAAAUAAAACAUCAAAAAGCUCGGCUAUGAAGUGAUGUUCUUUGCAGAAAUGGAACGCGUCAGCUUUCAUCUUGUAAGAUAAUAGCCCAGACAUGGGUUUUGAGUGCAAAAGGAGAUAGGUUUGACUGUGAAAGCUUUUAGGAACUGUCACUCCAACAAACAUGACAGCGCCGCUAAAAAUAAUGCCUGCUUAUAAACUCAAUGUCAGCGGCUCGGGGUGUGUUGCGUGUCUACUUAAGAGAUCGCAGGCUAGAAAAACAACAUUCGAGAAGGCCUGUGUACGCACACACACGCAAACACUAUCAAUCUCAGUGUUACAUUUCACUGUCAACGGGCCGUAAGCGCGGAAUGACACCAGCCGACCCGUUCUUUGUUUUCUCGUAUCUAGAUGGAUGUUCCUGUUGUGUUUUGUUUCCCAUUAAUUAAGUGUGGGGGAGUUGGUGUCAGUCACUAUUAAUUUGGAAGUGUUAAUGCACCCGGCUUUGUUUGACAGUCUUUUUUUAUUACAACACACACCAUUGUGAGUGAAAAUCAUGAUUAAUUUGUUGAACUUAAUGAUGUAUAAUUUGGCAACUCAAUUUUUUCAUAGCUGUCGACUGAGAGACUGGGUUUGGGUUUACUAACUGUGAUUCGGUGGCUGAAAUAGCUUUUUAACAAUUGCAUUUUUGUAAAACGAGCCACUGAUUAUAAUACUAGAAAUGUUAUUUUGUCCUGGAUUUUUGGCUGCGUUCUCUGGGGGGCAGGUGUAUAUUUGUGUGUUGGGUUUUGUGUGAGUAAGAGUGUCUACGUGUCUUUUUGAAUGCCUAUUUUGGAAGUUAAAGCGCAAACACAACGUUCUUUGUGAAAAGAAUUGAAAAUAAGAAUCACCCAUCGUGCAGCAACUGGAAACAUACCAAGGCUAAGAACCUUAUCGGGAAACACCGGGGCAGUGCUGUUCUGCAUGAAGAUGAUCUUUAAAUGUCCUUACUGUGACCUUUACUGCAUGUAAUGGGCACUGUGUGCUGUAGGCUGAGGAGACAAUGGGGCGCUCACUGACCUGUGCAAUGCGACCACGGAGUGAUGCUUCAAUCAAAACCUGGCUGAUUGUGUUUCCAUUUAUAGUCUCAGUGUGUAUGCACGAUUACCAGCCCUCAUGUGUGUAUCGGCGCGUGCGGGUAAGUAUACAUUUGUGUGCAGGUGUUAUCUUGUGCCACAUCAAACCUGUUUACCCCUCAAAAGUCUCGAUAUGGGCCAUUUACAUUCUUCAGUGAGAAACAGAUUCACAUUCAGGGACGGUUUCCAAGCCCCAUUAUUUGCCGUCACUUUCAAAUCAAAAUCAAUUUCCCAGGCCCCCGUUGUUCUCCUCCAGGGCUGAAAUGUUUUCUCUCCGAGUGUGUCUGAUGAAAGGUUUUCUCUGCACAGCCCCAGAGAUCUGGCAUGCUGAGGGGGAGGCGGCUCUGUGCACGUGUGUGUGUGUGUGUGUGUGUGUGUGUGUGGAUACGUGUGUCAUUGGAACACAUGGGCAACGUUGCGAUGGAAGAGAGCAGUCAACGCUGACCGAAGCUGCCCUACCCGGCUGUGUUUCUUAAGAACAGAAAGUGCUUCAUACUAGAGACGGAUAACACCCCCACCAGUGAGCACACACAAACAGGCAGACACACUGGCCCAAGAAGCGCUUCACUGUUGUGGUGCAUGUUUGCUUGUGAUGUGGGUUUUCUUGAAGCGCUGUUUGUUCUACUAUCCCAUGCUUGAUCAGGUUGGAUGAAAUCUCCCUCUCCCUGCCGAAGGCACAGCAGCUGAGGGGGGAAUACUGAUCUGUCAGCGCACCACACAGACGGCACUUAAGAGACUCAGGGUAAUAGCUGUUCAUGGGCCCUGUUAAAAAGCCUCCCCCGUUGCUGGGGCUUAGUGUCACUUAGAAGGAGGGCGUGAAAGAUGAACCUCAAACUGUAGAGAUUCUAACUAGAUACCUGCCAACUGUGAGGACAAGCUCCGGCCCACAGAAAUAACACGAUUUCAACGCCCAUUUCAACCUCCAUUGAGAAAAAAAUAUUACACAUUUUUAUGAGAUAACAUUGCUUUAUGCUAAUUGUUUGACUCUUAAUGGCACAUUUGGCAGCACAACAACAUUUUGGGGUGUUUUUCUAGCAAUAAUUUACAGGGUAAUAGCAUUGUAUUUUCGAAGUUAGAGCAUUUUAUUUAAUGAUUUUUAACCAGCUCGGUAUCAUUACAUUGUUGAUAUUAUACGUGAAUGAACAAUGUUCCCAUUCUAGCACUUUUAAUUAUCAUUACAACAGCUAUGAUAAACUUGGGGCUUGACGGUCAAGACAGGUUGCCUUGUAGAUAGGGCGCCAUCGCAUGUCUGACAGGGAGACAGAAAACCUUUUAAGAUCACAUUCACACCUACGAGCAAUUUCAAUGUCAACCGUGGGAAGACACUGUAGAACCGGCAGAGAACCCACACAGGCACAAGAAGAACAUGCACGUCUGUUGUAAUCCAUCUCUCCAAGACCAGAGUAGUGGACUGACACAGCCAUCCCUAAUCAUGACACCUGCAUAAGCAUUGACUGUUGGUAGUCAUGUGAGAUCCCAUCGCUUACACAGGGAAGAUCUGAAUGUAAUGUCAAGAUCUGAGCAAACACCAUCUGCUGAUUGAUCUGAAGAUGACAUGGAAAGAGCCAAUGCUGAUAAUUGACUGUCAAACUCAACCCUUUAGCUAACGCUGAAAGCAACGCUGUUAGAACUGUAGAAGAUUGAUUCUCCACACUCCAGUUGUUUGGUCAACUGCUCUUCCAACAGCAAGAAUGAAUUAGGUUUGUUUUCUUACUAAAGCCCAUAGACACACGCAGACACAGCAUUUAUGAAUUUUAAAUCCAUAGGGAUGUAAAAUGAGAUGAAUAUAAAACAAUGUACCACAAACUGAUUUAGUUCAAUGCAGUACACUCACCUCUGUUUGCUUAUUGGUCAAUGGGUGUUAUCUUAUAGAUCGAGUAGACACGCACAAGACAUAGAGUUGGUCAUUAUUCUGCUGCGACUGUGCAGCUUCAUAAUUCAAUAAGAAUAUGGUGAUUUAUGUUGCAGACCACGGCAGUAUGUACAUAAAUCACCGAAAGCUCACCUAUCGCUUUCACUUAUUCAUGUUAGCUGUUAUUUAUAACACCAUCGUCGGGCCCUGUGUGAUCAAUAUCCUUAAUUCUAAUUAAAUCUUGAGCACUCGCCCCUCUGUGUUGUUGGUACAACGCGCAUUUGUGUCGAAAAUGUUAAUUAGUGUGGUUGGUGCGAAGGAAGGGAGGGGCUGAAAAUUACCAAAUGAGGGAAAGUGGUGGAGCAAGAGGGAAUGUGAUUAGGGGUAAAGUGUGGAGAAUAUAAGCUUUAUAUAUAUACUCUCGCCGUGGGCGGAUGUUGACCUGCAAUACCCGCGAGAUCCGAUAAUCUGCCGUGCUCAGAUGAGGGUUCAAAAUGGUGUAGGAGAAAGGCCAAGACCAGAUGAACGGUGAGGGGGGGGGGGAUCAGCCUUGCCAAACAAACAGAGCUUUUAUUCGGAGCCCAGCGGCCUGUUGACACCCCCCAUGGUUGGCUAUCACCGCCCCCAUCGCCUGUUGACUCUGCUGCUCAGUGGAUUUGAGACAAGGAUCGGACCAUGGCUCACGCCCGAGGUCUUGUGUUCAUAAUGCCCACUAUGCUGGCGGACACCAUAAGACACUCGGAGUGAUAAGGUCUGUUCAGGGCCGCGGUCCCAAAUGGUCACAUGCUGUUUGACUUCACAAACAAGCGGUGAUGACAACACCCACUCCGUGGCGGUUAUAUGAAUGGGGCACUGCGUUCGCAUCUCGCAGCUGCGAUCGUAGCUAGCAGGGAAAAGCGUAGCGGUGAGUGUGCUUUUGCUCAAAGGUGGAUGUGAGCAGGUAUAAUGGUUUCAAUCUGCCCAGCAGGACACAGGGAGAGGGUAACAUCUUCACCCUUUGCACACUGGCCUUACUGGAUAUAGACACAAUAUUCCUGUUGUUGCGUCUUCCGCAAUAUGGCCAAGACAAAAUACAAUAGAAAUGUAGAUCAUAGUACAUAAUUAUUAAAAACUAGCCUUGAAAAAAACGCAUAAACCCGAAUGUGUCAUCGUGCUGGUAAAUAAAUUGUGCCCGUGCAGAAGGGACCGGAGUCGCUUUCCUCUGCUGUUUGCCCACCAACGAUUACUCACACUGAUAGAUGUGUGUUUGCGUGCAAGCAUCUGUGCCUCUGUGUGCUGUUUACUGUCGGGAUGAGGAGUCUCCAUAAUCCACAGCACUGCUGUGGCAACACGGAAACUGAGGUGGAGUGACGUUUAUGCCACAGGAAAUGAGAAGGGGUGAAACCAAAGGUCACUGACAAGAAGAGGGAGUCGGGGGGGGGGUAGAUACAAAGCAAGAGACUCAUUGACGUCAAGGACCGUCUGGUAAUGUGUUUGGAGGAGUUUCUUAAAACUGGAAAUCACACGGAUGCUUAAAAGUAAUGCAACGUAGUAAAGUUAUGCAUUUAUUAAUAUAAUAUUUAUUUGUUAUACAAAAAACAAGAGAAGGCGAAUCUAUAAAAAACAAAUAACCAAAUUUCCGAUUUUGCUCAUCCUUGUUAUACAAAUAAAUGUCUCCCUAGGCGUGAAUCUAGAAGUCUUUGGACCCCAAGAGCAUACUGUUAUAUAUUUGUUCUGUGUGUGCAGCAGACAAAGUAUCUCCCAGUGGAUAAGUUUCACAUGCCCUGACAUACACUUUUGUCAAACAAGAUUUGUCUCGUACUUGUUAAACUAAUUGGCCUUCAUCCUAAACUCGAAACAAAUCAUGUCAUGCAUUCCAUUAUGCAUCCACCCCAGUGGAGAAUCCUGUCAAUAGCACAAGAGACAAACAAGGGUGUGUGUGUGUGUGUGUGUGUGUGUGUAGAAAAUCUGGUUGUGUUGUCACAGGGGCACAAAGCAGAAACACAUCAUAGUUGUUGUUUAAUUUGAUGGUGUCUCCAGCGAGAGCAAUGUGGGCGUGCUCCUGGCUCAGAUCUAUCUCUGUUUGUGAAUGUGUUUUUAACCACUAGAUCAUUGUAGCAAUACACUAGUGGCAGCGCUCUGGCAUCAUCCUGCCUGCAGCAUCGAUCCACACAGCUUCAUUUACAACAGUAUGGAUUUCUGCAUCUGAGGGGAGGAGUGAGAGACAAAGAGAGACAGUGAGUGAGACAGAGAGCGAGCAAAAUGGAAUUCUUAGAGACAAUCCCAAUGCAUGAUUUUAUUGAAUAAAUAAAAUAUGUUGACUGCUGCGAAGUCAAAGGGCUGGGAUAUGUUAUGUUGUCUUUUAAGAUGUAGAGAUACUGAAAAGGGACUUGAUUGUGAUCGUACUUACAUAAGGGUUGAUGGAUUUGAAAGAGACACGUUAAUACAAAAUCAAGUGAAACAAAACAACCCAACUUUUAGAACCUGCUUGAGAUGAAGGAACGCUAAAUGAUGUCCAACUUCAUCAUUUAGCAUUUGAAGCCCACAUUCCGCUCCAGUGCCGAAUCCUCCCUGCUUGAUAAGACAAACACAGAAUUUCCCGUUGGAAUCAUCUCAACUUAUUUUCUUUCGAUAGUCCCUUAACAAACAGAGCCAGCAGGACAGGGAUGAAGGAGCAAAUUUAUGUUGUGAGACAAAGGGAAGCCGAGGGAGGAGGAAUGGAAGCAACAGUUUCUGGCCAAAGGCGUACUUUGGUGGUCUGUGUUAUUCCCUUCCGGCUUCAUUACAGUCUUAUAUCUGGGCGAGCCACCCAGCCAGAGAGAACGGGGCCACAGUAUGAAGGUAGAUUUGUGUGUUUAUUAUGCAAACAAAAUAAAACAAACAGUUUUGAGAGCAAAUUUCUUGCAUUGCAUUAAAAAAUCAGUUUGUAAGUCAAAUAAAAUAUAUAAACUGAGAAUAAAUUAUUUGUUAGUCUUUCUUAUGAAAACAGAAUUUUGGGCUGCAUAACAAAAACUUUUGCUCUAAAAAAAAAAAGCGCUUUGCUCUCCAAAAAAAAGCUGUGGACUCGAUACAAAAACUUCCGCGAUCCAAGUUUGUACGUAGUGGGUGGGGCUUACGCUGCCGAAUGAACCAGGAGUUUCUAUUGGUGGGCGCUCGGCGUCUGCUUCCACCAUUAAACUGGAGGCGACUGUCACGAGCGACACGAAGGUAAGUAAGUUGGAUUUUUUAAUGCAGCACCACUUUACUUUGUUUUCAUGUUGUUAGCCUUCUAUUAAAGAACGACACGUAGGGCUGCUGUGUCGACAUGAAGCCCCACUUUCUGCGUGCAUGUGGGCUAACGUGGGCUAACAGUGGAUUACACGCACCUGAGGCAUGUCCAUGUUAUCUACGGUUAGCAUGUCAUAAUGAAGAGAGAAAUCUACAUUCAUACAGAGUAGCUCGGGGAGGUUGUGGACGGGGCACACCUGCCACCUCAGACAACAUGAAUUAGGGAGCAAUUUUUGCUCCUGCUUCUCAAUGUUUUACGGUUCGUCUUCCUUGUGGAUUAUUCCUUCUUUAUCUCUCCUGCGCUCUUUCACUCUGUUUUUCUCCCUGUACUUUGGCCCCUCGCUCUGUGACACCCCUCCAGUCCUUCCUGACAGCCCUGUGAUAAUGGGACAGUAAAUUAAGGCCAUACUAUUUCUCCACCUAUCAUCCUCCCAGCGGUUGAUGUGAUCUUUCACUCAUAAGGUCAAAGGGUAAUCUUUGUAAGGCAGUCAAUGUGCAAUGUGCCCCCGUGCUGCUGUCUCACAGGCGUCACGUAAUGCUGUAAACCGCACUUUGAAAUCAUCGUCCCACAAACACACCCGCUGCAACAGCACGUUUCCCUUUCUCACACGAAGAUUGAAUCACAGCCAUUUUCGUUGUCAUUAACAUGCAUUUAUCUUGCAACCUGUUUUUAAGAUCAGCCACUCUAUGAAUUCUAUAAAUAUUUCCAAUUUCAUAGUCAAGAAUGCUCCAUCUGCAAAUGCUGCUGGCAUAAUAGCAAGUGUUGACAUAAAAUAAAAACGUCUUCAGGUUCUUGCCUUUGCUGUAAAAUCUAAUCACUCUCACAGGUUUCACUUAAUCACAUGAAAAACAAAACCUGAACUAUUAAGUCUCUUUAAUCCACUUUGUGAAUACAUAUUGGAGAACACAGCUUUCAAAUUCCAAAAGGGAUUAGCUCUAAAAGGCAGAAACAGAGAGGCCUUUGAGGGGAGCUAAAAUUACAGGUGGAGUGAUCCCUUCUAAAAUUAUCCAACUCUUUUAUAUUGCGCCUCUGAAGAAUUCAUGCUCAUGUUUAAUUCCCAAGCUCUGAUAACGAAUGUCUCCUCCAAGCACCUGAAGAUUAAUAGACUUUUACCAGGUGUUCUCUGUCUUUUUAUAACACACUCCAACUAUUUAAACGCUCAGCUGUCUGGCUGUCAGCUCACAGCAUAAGGUCAUUUGGAGGAAGUCUUUGCCCAUGGAUAUACUUUCUGAGUGGUAUCGCAAAUAGCAUGUGACGGAAAUAAAAAGAAAUGUAAACUCGACAAACAAAAAGUGAGAACAACUAUGGGGCUAUGAGGCUGUACGUAUGCACAAUGUUGCAUUGAGAUAAAGGCCAACAUCCACAUGCUAACAUAAUCACAAUGCCAAUGCUAACAUGCUGUUUAGCACGUACACUGCUUACCAUGCUUAUUGCCACCUUAGUAGAGUGUGCUAGCAAGCUAACAUUGACUAAUUAGUAAUAAACACAAAACAGAGCUGAGGAGAAUUUCAUUACCACAGGCACAUAGUUACAAACCGAAGUAUGUGCAUAACGUUAUUCUUGACCCGGUGAUGGCUUUUGACGAAAAGUAAAGGGGAUCACCAAAGUUGUUAGAAUAAAUCUUGUCAAACAAUUGAGCCAUUUCAUUUAUCACCUUUAAUGUCAACCUAUCUAUAUCUAAAGGGAAGUAUAGACACAUACAUAUAUAUAUAUUCCAAUUUAUUGGGAUUUAUUAUCUGGGGUUUCAAGCAUGCCUCCACAUAUUUCUUUGCAAUCUAUUCCAGUGCUGUUGGUGUAUUUCACUACAAAAGAACCUCAUCGUAGGGCUAAAGGAAUCGUGGGAUCACCAAAUUCAGAGGAACUCAGGAGGACUUCAAACGUAUUUCAAAGGGUUACAUAAUUUCAGGCUGGACCAAAAUGUUGGACCAACCGAUCAACCAAAGGCCGGACAUUGCCUUCCUAAAAAAAAAAGAGAAGAUGUUGAUUUAGAAUGCUUUGAUUUGAACUUAUAUCAUUUUAAAACGGUGUUCCAGAGUUCAAACUCUGGAACACCGUUACUAGGAACACAAAUUCAGCUGCACAUCAUAAAACCGAACACUUAUGCUUUUGCCCACGCGCGAUCUUGCACCAACACAAGCCGAACUUUGAGUGAUGAAAAAGCAUAUUCAGAUUUCACACUCCAAUAACAACAAGUAAUCAAAGCCGGUGGCUGAGCCGCUCCGACGGAGGCAGCAGACCGAGGCGGAGUGACGCUGCCGCAGCCCUCAGUCGCACUCUAAACACCUGUCUUCAAAUGGACACAUCAAUCCCUAUUUCACAGCCCGCCUGGCCUCCUACACCACACCCGUGUGGUGUGCAAUAUGAACACACAGGCACGAUGCAGACUUUUCAACAGAUUUAUCAGAUGCAAAAAGAAAUACAGUGAGAAAUGACUUGGAAAAAGUAUUUAUCUACAAAGCUGAAAGGACGAGUCACCAAAAAGCACGGGGGUGAAGGAAGGUUCUAAGCGAGAGAGCAGAAAUCAAUCCAUUGCAAUGCAGCAUACGUAAUCUCACUCGUCUGCGGGACGCACUGGUUCGCAGCCAUGGAGUGGCGAGGGAUCGGUGCGGCUUGCGAGAAAAUGGUCCUGGACCAGAAAGAGGGUAGUGAAAAGCACUUAGCACCUGGUCUGGGAUAAUACCCUCUCUCUCUUUCUCUCUCUCUCUUCCUCUCUCUCUCACACACACAAACAAGCACUCUCACACACACACACACACACACACACACACACACAAGCACUUUGCCUAAUAGAGUAGCAGCAGUAGUCAGCGUUUCCCAUGGCAGGCUGUAAUCGCAUGGCUGGACUCAGUGAUGGAUUUUGGGUUAGAGGCAGCAUCAGCACCACCGCAAUAAACACACACACACACACACACAAACACACAUACAUUGGCAUGUGCAUACACUUAGACAUAUGCACAAAAGGUUUUGUGGAAGAAAGAAUUAACGUUGAUGUGUGAAAGUUAAAUGGAAGAGGAAUAUGAUGGAUAAUGAGUGUUUGUGGGAUCUUUUGCCUCCUUCAUACAACAGAGGAACAUUGGUUUAACGUGAAAGUAAUUAAAGCACAUAUACAUUUGCAUUCACAGGCUCUUUAUGCUAACACGGGCUGCUGGGGGAUGUAAUCUACUAUUCAGUUUCACUUAUGUGAAAAAAUAAAAAGGUCUACCCAUGCGGUAUUCUGCAUUUUAAUUUUGAAGAAACUUCUUCAUUGAGCCCAAUCUACAAGUACUCAUGUGCAGUGCAUCAUUUACCAUUAUAGGGUAUUUAAGUAGCCAGAAUUAAGUUAAUUCUAGCUAGUGAUCAUCGAAUAACCCAGAAACUCAUUUAUGCACUUACCGCUGAGUGGAGUUAUUUCAAGAAGCUUCAGACUUCCAACCAUCUUGAUUGAAAAUAAAAGGUUCCUCCUUCCAGCUAAGGAAAAAUGGAAAAACACUGAUGGGGGUUUGCAACAUUUGUCAAUACAAACAAAGAUAUUAGUGUGAAUUUAAAUUCUGUAUGCCCAAGUUCAAUUUACACAAAGUAAAAUAUCAACUUUUUAUUUGACGGCUAUAUUCAUUGCAAGGCAAUGAAAUAUUGGAUGAACACGGAUUUAAAAUUAAAUGUGACUAGUUGGCGGAGCCAUUGCAAAGCAGUAAUUAUUUUUUAAAUGUUGUAUUUUGCUUCCCAUAACUGCUAGUAAUUGAUGAAAUAUUUUCUAGAAACUUGCUUGACGUGCAUU